rnacentral:rRNA from 1 species
UACGAAGGGUGCAAACGUUGCUCGGAAUUACUGGGCGUAAAGGGCGCGUAGGCGGUGUGUCAAGUCAGGCGUGAAAGCCCCGGGCUCAACCUGGGAACAGCGCUUGAGACUGGCACGCUCGAGUUCGGGAGAGGAUGGUGGAAUUCCCAGUGUAGAGGUGAAAUUCGUAGAUAUUGGGAAGAACACCGAUGGCGAAGGCAGCCAUCUGGACCGACACUGACGCUGAGGCGCGAAAGCGUGGGGAGCAAACAGG